ACAACAUAAAGUGUUUUACUGGCUGUGUAUUUAUCAAGAUUGAUGCUGAACUAACAGUGAAGUCCAAAAGGUUCACAUCAGCACCAUAACAACAUCUAUAUCCAGUUCUACCCACCAGGUUGGUCAACGGUUCCACCAACUAUUCCAAAAGGGUUGCAGUCAGGGAAGGGGUAGGAGUGGGGGGAUUUAAAUUGUAUACAAUGUGUUAAACAGUUACACUCUGCAAAGC